rnacentral:rRNA from 1 species
UACGUAGGGUGCAAGCGUUGUCCGGAAUUAUUGGGCGUAAAGAGCUCGUAGGCGGUUUGUCGCGUCGGCUGUGAAAACCUGAGGCUCAACCUCAGGCCUGCAGUCGAUACGGGCGGACUUGAGUACUGCAGGGGAGACUGGAAUUCCUGGUGUAGCGGUGAAAUGCGCAGAUAUCAGGAGGAACACCGAUGGCGAAGGCAGGUCUCUGGGCCGCUACUGACGCUGAGAAGCGAAAGCAUGGGGAGCGAACAGG